CUAAAACCUCUUCUACUGACACAUCAGUGUGGGAAAAUAUUUCAACACUACAAUGGCUGCUGGAGAUAACUGCCAUGGCCUUAGCUCUUAAAACCUCAUAUGGCGCAUUCAUCUGCAAAUGAGGAACUGCCUAUUCCUGCCAUCAUCCUUCUAGGGAGAUUGGUUAUCAUUACGUUGAAUAAGAUUUUCAUAUUUGGGACAAUUUACUCUUCCAGCAUUUCAACGCAUGGCACUGUGGAAAUGACGAGGAAGUGGUGGAUCAAGAAGCUGGCAGCCAGCCAGUUUCUCCUGCUGUAGAACACUGAUAGCUGCAAGAUAGGACUGUGGCUUUUGGUACAUUGCUGGAAGGUACCUUUUGAAUUUAAC